GAUGAACGCUGGCGGCGUGCCUAAUACAUGCAAGUCGAGCGAACGGACGAGAAGCUUGCUUUUCUGAUGUUAGCGGCGGACGGGUGAGUAACACGUGGAUAACCUACCUAUAAGACUGGGAUAACUUCGGGAAACCGGAGCUAAUACCGGAUAAUAUUUUGAACCGCAUGGUUCAAAAGUGAAAGACGGUCUUGCUGUCACUUAUAGAUGGAUCCGCGCUGCAUUAGCUAGUUGGUAAGGUAACGGCUUACCAAGGCAACGAUGCAUAGCCGACCUGAGAGGGUGAUCGGCCACACUGGAACUGAGACACGGUCCAGACUCCUACGGGAGGCAGCAGUAGGGAAUCUUCCGCAAUGGGCGAAAGCCUGACGGAGCAACGCCGCGUGAGUGAUGAAGGUCUUCGGAUCGUAAAACUCUGUUAUUAGGGAAGAACAUAUGUGUAAGUAACUGUGCACCUCUUGACGGUACCUAAUCAGAAAGCCACGGCUAACUACGUG
rnacentral:rRNA from 1 species